rnacentral:lncRNA from 1 species
UAAACCUCAUCCAUUCCCCUUCUCACAAGAUGGUCAACUAUAUCACUGGCUGAAUGACGAUCUACAUUACGACAGUCUGUGCAAGGGCAAAUGAUCAACUGAAUAUCCCCUUUACUCGCAGACACAGCUUGGACAAAGUCCCAAGCACCUCUCUCAUAAGCAGGAUCAACUCUGCGAAUAUUAACAAAACAAAAAAAAAAUUCAGUAAGCAGUACAAUCCUCAACUGAAAAGUGACUUAUAUAUGUUACUUUCAUACCUUGACAGAUGAACCCACGCCUUGUCUAACAUUGUUUCACCUA